rnacentral:rRNA from 1 species
UCAGAUNNAACGCUGNNNNCAGGCNUAANNCAUGCAAGUCGAGNNGNAGNNNNNAGAAGCUUGNUNUCGGGUGACGAGCGGCGGACGGGUGAGNNAUGUCUGGGAAACUGCCUGAUGGAGGGGGGAUAACUACUGGAAACGGUAGCUAAUACCCGCAUAACGUCGCAAGACCAAAGAGGGGGACCUUCGGGCCUCUUGCCAUCAGAUGUGCCCAGAUGGGAUUAGCUAGUAGGUGGGGUAACGGCUCACCUAGGCGACGAUCCCUAGCUGGUCUGAGAGGAUGACCAGCCACACUGGAACUGAGACACGGUCCAGACUCCUACGGGAGGCAGCAGUGGGGAAUAUUGCACAAUGGGCGCAAGCCUGAUGCAGCCAUGCCGCGUGUAUGAAGAAGGCCUUCGGGUUGUAAAGUACUUUCAGCGGGGAGGAAGGUGUUGUGGUUAAUAACCGCAGCAAUUGACGUUACCCGCAGAAGAAGCACCGGCUAACUCCGUGCCAGCAGCCGCGGUAAUACGGAGGGUGCAAGCGUUAAUCGGAAUUACUGGGCGUAAAGCGCACGCAGGCGGUCUGUCAAGUCGGAUGUGAAAUCCCCGGGCUCAACCUGGGAACUGCAUUCGAAACUGGCAGGCUAGAGUCUUGUAGAGGGGGGUAGAAUUCCAGGUGUAGCGGUGAAAUGCGUAGAGAUCUGGAGGAAUACCGGUGGCGAAGGCGGCCCCCUGGACAAAGACUGACGUCAGGUGCGAAAG